UUAGCGAUGACACAUGAUAUCUCAUAUACUAGCGUACUACUUUUGCAAUAGAAAUAUAUUGUAAAAGUAGUAAGAGUAAUGUAGUAUGCUGUUCCGAAUUCAUUAUCAUAUAAAGUUUUGUCAUUGCAAAAACGCAAACCUGGUUCCUGGUUGGCAUCUACAUGAUGGAUGUGUUACAUGUGAAUGGUCUGGACUAUUAAAACGAUUUCCACAGCUUUUGGCUAGCAUGCUCUGAAGGUGAUCUGACCCAAAUUUGGAGAUUUGAUGAACACUGCAGGAGGAGAUCGAAAAAUCAGGGAGAAAAUAACAGCCUACAGGCUUGGAACAACAUGAAGCAGAUUGGUGGUGCUAGAGCAUCUUUCUCACUCUCUCUCCAUCUCUGUACGUUACAAGAUGUUCUAGGCGUGGAGUCCGUAAUCUUUCAAACCUGACCAGCAGAGGAAAACAAAUAUCUCUCGUAGUGAUCAGAGACACGUUCAUCAUGCGGUCAAUAAACAGACCACUGCAAAAGGCUAAACAAAUGCUUUAGCAAUGGUCUAAUUCUGUUUGUACUUUGGAUUUACUCCACCAGAAAAAUGUGCAUGUGUGUAACAGUGUUGGGGAAUGACUAACAAAAAUAGAGAUGCUCCUGACUAACUAUUUACACAUUACUACAUGUACCACAAUAGUAAUAACAGUAAAUUAUGCAUAAUUACAAGUAACUAACCCUAACCCAAACCGUAACUCUAUAGUAAGUACAUGUAGGUAAUUAAUAGUACUCAGUACAGUAUUAUAGUUAUCAUGAUUAAUUAAAAGUUCAGUUAAAUGCAGUCACCCUAAUUUUGUGUCAGAUAUAUUGCAGAUUAAACAGUGAAUACUAUAGUGAAUACUAUAUUUAUAUAUAAUAUAAAUUAUAGCAAUUAUCGGGUUUCAAGCAUUUUAAGGCCUUUAAGCACAUGUGUAAAAAGGUAUAAUAUUUAAUUAGCAAGCCUGUAACCAUCACAAUCAUAGAUGAAAAAGACCAUUUACUACCAAUACAGGCAAUUUACCAUAGGAAAUUUAUAGUUUAUAAAGCUUUUUAACAGUUAUCGAGGUUGUGUCAAAAACCUAGGACUAGUUCACCAAAGUUGUUUUUUUUUUAAAUAAUCUCCAAUAUUUAACAAACAAUUUGACGGACAGCGGCGGUCCUAGAGGCAAAGUUGCUCAGAAUGAGGAGUUCUACCAUGUGGUAUAAAAUUUCGAAGGUGCAUGCAAAAAAUAGCAUGAUAUACAGUAUAUGCAUGUAAAAACACAUAGACACCCCCGGUGGCUGAUUUCUUUUAAAUUUCUCACAAGCUUCAAGGGCCGUGAGUCAAACAGGCCCAGUGAGAUUCAUUCCGAUCAGCC